UCUCUUCUUGCUACUUGCUCUCUGUUAAAGGCUAGCCGGCUGAAAGCCUAGCCUAGUUAUAGAAUUUCUCUUUACUUUUGUCAUUCAAGUUCAAUUGGUAGGUUCUAAUCUCAAUUACUAAUCUUUCAACUAUUUGUUUACUUUCACCGUGUCUUUGCCUGAUAUACUUGCAGUCUAAUGUAAUCCCUUUCCCUUUCCCCUUGUUUGUUUCUUUCAGUACUCUACUUGAGUUCUAGCAUGUUUAAACUCCCUCUCCCUUUCCCUGGGCUGUCAUGUUUCAGUUUAAAGUCCUAACAUACUUAAUUCCCCUCCCUUUAUCCCCUUGUCUGAUUAUUUUAUCUCAUAUGAGUUUUUAGUUUCCCUUUACCUGGGCUGUCAUGUUUCAGUUUAAAGUCCUAACAUGCUUAAUCUCCUUCCCUUUAUCUUAUCUCAUAUGAGUUUUUAGUACAUUUAAAUCCCUAUCCCUUGUCCCCUUGUUUAUGCUGUAGAUUUCAGUUAUGUUAAACCCCCUUUCCCUUUAUCCCUCACCUGUUUGUGUUCUUUCACCGUGUCUUUAUCUGAUAUACUUGCAGUUUAAUUUCAUCAUGUAAUUCCUUUCCCUUUCCCCUUGUUUGUUUCUUUCAGUACUCUACUUGAGAUUUCAGUUAUGUUAAACACCUUUUCCCUUUAUCCCUCACCUGUUUGUGUUAAAUUUCAGCAUGUUAGUCCUUUUCACUUUCCCUUUUGUUGUUUUCAGUAUUUCAGUAUGUUAAAUUCCUUUUUGCUGCUUGUGCGUUGUCCAUCACUGUGUUUUAUUUCAACUUAAUUUUGUCUGUUAAAAUCUUAUGUGAUUUCCCCUUCCCCUUUACCCAUGUUUGCUUAUGAGUUUGUUUUGGAUGAGAAUGGCAUCUCAUUGCCACUUCUAAUCUAUAACCAAGGGUUAAUUGACUAUACUCAGAAUGAUCCCAUUCCCUUUUCCCCUCGUAUGUGCUUGAGCCUGGACAAAGGCCUGUUGGUGUCUUAAUCACCUUCCAGGCCUUUGUCUGACUUGUUUACGAGUCUGCUCCUGUUUAUAACCUUUGUAAGGAGUCUGGGGUGUGCCAGUCUCAAUCAUUAGGCUGUGUAUGACCACUUCAUACACUGGUUCCCUUUAAUCCCCACUUUGCACUUAUUCUUAGCCCCUUUAAGUUCCUACCCUCCUUUGGUAAGUCAUGCUUAGGGACCUUGGAGUCUCCUCUGAACUUGGAUUCCUUAGGGCUGGUAAUUCCACACUUGCACUAUUCCAACUAGGGUG
rnacentral:lncRNA from 1 species